CUGCCGUGGGGAUUGUGUGUUGUUUCUUCUUUGACGGUGGGGGACGUUUCUGAGCCCCGGCUUUAUGGGCGUUUGCUCGGGCGCUACGCUGCAAGGCAGGCAUUUGCUUUCGCGAGAGAGAGAGACUUGCUCAGAGAAGGGAAGUGCUCCGCUGGGGGCUGCGAGUCUUUAGGCGGGGGGUGUGUUUUUUUUUUCCCUACGCGUUGCAGCCGGCGAGGGAGAAAAAUGCGGCUCGUGCGUGCGGUCGCUCAUCAACUGAGAACCCGGAGAUCCAGACGAGGCAAGUCACAGGUGGUUGCGAGUGACCUUGAGGGCCCCGCCCCCCCGCGCCCUGAUGCGAAUGCAAGCUUACUUCUCACGAACGACGCCGGCGGUUUUAGCUUAACACUGAGAUCUGGAAGAUGGGCCGGGAACAAAACUCGCACGCAGGGUUGACCAGAAUGAAAGGUGCCUCCCCCCGCCCCCCAUUCGAACGUUGAAGACCUAUGUGACUGUAUGUGGAGAUAAGGUCUUUAAGGAGGGAGGAUUCACUGGGUUGGCAGGAGAUUUCAUUUUCCCCAACAAUCUGGCAUUGAAAGCACGACUGGUCUGGCGGUUCUGGAUUUGAGUCAGCUAAAAUGUCUUGUGGCCACACAACAGGAGCGCAGACUUCUCGUUGCAGAAUCCCAGAGAGCAGCCAGUGCACAACCCCCCCCACCCAGGGGAGCUGUUACCUGAGAACACGCUGCGAACGUCAGUGCCUGGGGCACUGAAAAGCCUUCAGAUGAUAACAGCGGGUGAGAAGGGCACGUGAAGGACAAGGAGUUGAUUUGAGGCUGGAGGACCAGAGGGAGCAGGGGCAGCAGAGAAAAGAAGAGGCUUCUGUGAGAGAAAUUGCUGUCCUCACAGUUUCUUUUCCAUUGUUCUCCAUUUUUCCUUCAGCCUAUCCAAAUUAACUUUUAACUUUCCACUUGGAAUGAUAUUAAUCCUAUACAUACAGUAGUUCAUUCACUUGGGGUGAGGCUCUUCUAAGAACUUCCACAAAUACAUUAACUUGUCCAAGUCAGAAGAACCCUCCUCAGUCUACACAUCAGAAUUCUCAUAUGCUUACCCAUUCCAAAUGAGAGAUUGUUUAAGAAAAAGACUUGCCUCCGCAAAAUUUCUGGCUUCCUAUAUUUUUCCAUCCUCAUAGCUCAUAGUGUCCCUUGUGGUGUCUCUCCAAAUCAGUUGGGGGCCCUCCGAUGUGGGGCACUGAUGGGGUGGACCUGGUGGCAUGGGCAGUGAUAGAUUCCACCCGAGGCAGAACAAAAGAGAAGUUUAUCGGAUGCCCCGCAAGGGAGUGGAGGGCAGGACCACAGAGGACAGCUGUCUGGGAGGAGGCAGUGGGUGGAGGCUGUUUCUUAGAGGGAGGGUGAGGAGGUAUUGGUGAUAUAUAGAAUUUUCCCUUUUUUUGGUAACUGUGCCUGGUUAUAAGUAACCCAUUGUUUAGUUAGGGCCUGGAGAUAUUUUGAGGUGCAUUACAUGAUGGGCCCGUCUAUUCAGCCAGGGGGUCGCUAUGGGCCCUUUCGCCCUACCAUCACUCAAGUCUGUUUGUCUGAAAGUGACCUCUACAUUCAUGACAGAAUUUUAAAGCAUAUAUUUACCCAUUCUUACUCAAUAUCUUAAUAUUGGAGAGAGUCAGAAAGAUACAAGGGAGCA